rnacentral:rRNA from 1 species
CUACGGGAUGCACCAGUGGGGAAUAUUGGACAAUGGGGGAAACCCUGAUCCAGCAAUGCCGCGUGUGUGAAGAAGGCCUGCGGGUUGUAAAGCACUUUCGGUUGGGAGGACUGCUUCUAGCACUAAUAUUGUUGGAAGUUGACGUUACCUUCAGAAGAAGCACCGGCUAACUCCGUGCCAGCAGCCGCGGUAAUACGGCGGGUGCAAGCGUUAAUCGGAAUUACUGGGCGUAAAGCGCGCGUAGGCGGCUAGAUCAGUCGGGUGUGAAAGCCUCGGGCUUAACCUGGGAACUGCAUCCGAUACUGUGUAGCUUGAGUACAGGAGAGGAGAGUGGAAUUCCACAUGUAGCGGUGAAAUGCGUAGAUAUGUGGAGGAACACCAAUGGCGAAGGCAGCUCUCUGGCCUGAUACUGACGCUGAGGUGCGAAAGCGUGGGGAGCAAACAGGAUUAGAUACCCGAGUAGUC